AAGGCCUUCGGGUUGUAAAGCACUUUCGGCCGGAACGAAAUCGCGCGGGUUAACACCCAGCGUGGAUGACGGUACCGGAAGAAGAAGCACCGGCUAACUACGUGC
rnacentral:rRNA from 1 species